rnacentral:rRNA from 1 species
UACGGAGGGGACUAGCGUUGUUCGGAAUUACUGGGCGUAAAGCGCACGUAGGCGGAUUUGUAAGUCAGGGGUGAAAUCCCGGGGCUCAACCCCGGAACUGCCUUUGAUACUGCGAAUCUCGAGUCCGGAAGAGGUGAGUGGAAUUCCUAGUGUAGAGGUGAAAUUCGUAGAUAUUCGGAAGAACACCAGUGGCGAAGGCGGCUCACUGGCCCGGUACUGACGCUGAGGUGCGAAAGCGUGGGGAGCAAACAGG